rnacentral:rRNA from 1 species
UACGUAGGGUGCAAGCGUUGUCCGGAAUUAUUGGGCGUAAAGAGCUCGUAGGCGGUCUGUCGCGUCUGCUGUGAAAACUCAGGGCUUAACCCUGAGCUUGCAGUGGGUACGGGCAGACUAGAGUGCGGUAGGGGAGACUGGAAUUCCUGGUGAUAGCGGUGAAAUGCGCAGAUAUCAGGAGGAACACCGGUGGCGAAGGCGGGUCUCUGGGCCGGUAACUGACGCUGGAG